UACGGAGGGUGCAAGCGUUAUCCGGAUUCACUGGGUUUAAAGGGUGCGUAGGUGGAUUGGUAAGUCAGUGGUGAAAUCUCCAAGCUUAACUUGGAAACUGCCGUUGAUACUAUCAUUCUUGAAUAUCGUGGAGGUAAGCGGAAUAUGUCAUGUAGCGGUGAAAUGCUUAGAUAUGACAUAGAACACCGAUAGCGAAGGCAGCUUGCUACACAAUCAUUGACACUGAGGCACGAAAGCGUGGGGAUCAAACAGG
rnacentral:rRNA from 1 species